rnacentral:rRNA from 1 species
AGAGUUUGAUCCUGGCUCAGAUUGAACGCUGGCGGCAGGCCUAACACAUGCAAGUCGGGCGGUAACAGGGAGAAGCUUGCUUCUCCGCUGACGAGCGGCGGACGGGUGAGUAAUGUAUGGGGAUCUGCCUGAUGGCGGGGGAUAACUACUGGAAACGGUAGCUAAUACCGCAUAAUGUCUUCGGACCAAAGCGGGGGACCUUCGGGCCUCGCGCCAUCAGAUGAACCCAUAUGGGAUUAGCUAGUAAGUGGGGUAACGGCUUACCUAGGCGACGAUCCCUAGCUGGUCUGAGAGGAUGAUCAGCCACACUGGGACUGAGACACGGCCCAGACUCCUACGGGAGGCAGCAGUGGGGAAUAUUGCACAAUGGGCGCAAGCCUGAUGCAGCCAUGCCGCGUGUAUGAAGAAGGCCUUCGGGUUGUAAAGUACUUUCAGUCGGGAGGAAGGUGGUGAGCUUAAUACGCUCAUCAAUUGACGUUACCGACAGAAGAAGCACCGGCUAACUCCGUGCCAGCAGCCGCGGUAAUUC